AUAUCAGUCAUGCAUAGCAUAUCAAUAAGCGGAGGAAAAGAAACUAACAAGGAUUCCCUUAGUAACGGCGAGUGAAGCGGGAAGAGCUCAAAUUUGAAAUCUUCAAGGUUUUACCUUGACGAAUUGUAGUUUAAAGAAGUGUUUUCUGUUGAAGUUUUGGUAAAAGUUCUUUGGAACUAGGACAUCAUAGAGGGUGAGAAUCCCGUAUUUGACCAUUACUUUCAGCUUUGUGAUACACUUUCAAAGAGUCGGAUUGUUUGGGAAUGCAGUCCAAAAUGGGUGGUAAAUUUCAUCUAAAGCUAAAUAUUGGCGAGAGACCGAUAGCGAACAAGUACCGUGAGGGAAAGAUGAAAAGAACUUUGAAAAGAGAGUUAAACAGUACGUGAAAUUGUCAAAAGGGAAGCGUUUGACACCAGUGUUGUUUUCUCGAAAAUCAAUUAAAAAGAGUUGGAUUUUGUGUUGUAUUGACUUUAUCGGCUUUCUUCACUCUUUUCCAGCUUUUUUUAAUGCACUUUUCGUUUAACAAGUCAACAUCAGUUUCUUUUGUUGUAAAAAGGUCAUUGGAAGGUGGCUUUCUCUUCGGAGAAAGUGUUUAUAGCCUUUGACUCAUGCAAUCGGAGAGACUGAGGUCUGCAGCGUAGAUCCUUCGGGGUUAGAUACAUUUGUGCUAAGUUAUAGCUUUUCAUAGACAACUUGUUGACUAUGUUUAGUCUUGUAGCUUACUCGCUUAUGCUAUUUUACCUACGCUUAGGAUGUUGAACUCUAUCACACACA
rnacentral:rRNA from 1 species